rnacentral:rRNA from 1 species
AGAACGAACGCUGGCGGCAGGCUUAACACAUGCAAGUCGAACGCCCCGCAAGGGGAGUGGCAGACGGGUGAGUAACACGUGGGAACAUACCCUUCGGUACGGAACAACUCGGGGAAACGCGAGCUAAUACCGUAUACGCCUUGGCGGGGAAAGAUUUAUCGCCGAAGGAUUGGCCCGCGUCCGAUUAGCUAGUUGGUGAGGUAAUGGCUCACCAAGGCGACGAUCGGUAGCUGGU